GUGUGUGUGUGCUAGCUGCUUCACAUACGACUCAGAGAAAGAAUUGCUUUGCAGGUACACACUUGCUGCAAACUGAUGUAUUGAACUUUCAGGGAUUUUGAUUGGUCGCCCAAAUAACCCAUUCUCCUUUUGUUGAUAUUUAUGAAGGAGAUCAUUAUUUCUCUUUUAGUUUCAGGUUGCCAACAUCACGAAUUUCAUACUUAUGGAGUGGAGCCACCAAACAAUUUAUGAGAUUUCCGCCAUGGACGCCGCCUCGCUCAUGGGCUCCUCCUCCGCCGACGCGCGCACCGACGGGGACCACCGGAUGGGCAUCACCAUCAUGGGCGUCUGCUACGACGGCGGCGUCCUCGCCGCUGACACUCAGGACCAGCACCGAGAGGUUCCACGACUUCAGUUUGGCUAUCAUCAAAAUUGGAGGAGAGCCCGAUGCAUUGGAGAGCAUCAUCCGCGAGUUCCACAGGAUCGAAUUGAGGAGGCAUUAUAACCUGGCAUCAUUUGGAUGACUUUGUCAGUAGGAAGAAUGGCUAACAUGCCUGUUAAAGCUAGAUAAACGCGUAUUGAAGGAACUGGGGUAUGUCCGCCAUGUUGAACACCCUCACAAUGACGGGUACCAUACAAUGUUAGCGAGGACAGUGAUUGGGGGAUUGAUAUUUUCGAAGUAAAGAGGUGCUUGGAGGAGGCACGCGUCGCAGGUUUGACUGUUUGGGCUAUGGUGAUCAUAAACCCCGGAUAACCGACGGAACAGGUACUUUCUGUGACCAACCAGGAGGAGAUAGUAGAAUUUUGUCGAAAAGAAGGUUUGGUUAUGCUUGCCGAUGAAGUUUGCACUUGGUGAACUGCGGUAGUUUUGUGACGCGGACGCGUGUGUAGACAUCCUACAUUUGUAUAAAUGCGUUUACAAGUAUACCAAGACAAGCUCUAUAUGGAGGACAUGAAGUUCAAUUCUUUCAGGAAAGUUGCCAGAUCACUUGGGUAUGACGAGAAUGGUAUAUCCAUAGUGUCAUUUCAUUGGGGGGGUACUCUGGAGUAUGUGGCAGAAGGGGAAGCUACAUGUUGAUAUGUAAAAUUCCCUUCACGACUCGUUUAGGAAUAACAGAGUUUUGGAGAUGAUGUGAUGGGUGAGAUUCGCAAGGUGGCUUCUAUGACUCUUUGCCCCAACAUAAAUGGUGACUUGCGAUGGAUCCACCGAAGAUCUGCGAUUGACAUUUUUAUUGGACCACUGGGUGAGCAUUUGCAACAAAGAGCCAGGGAGUAAGCUGGGAGCGGACAAACAUAAUGCCCUGAACAUGAGUUUGUCCUUGCAUAAUUAUCCAUGUCUGAUGGUAGGAAGAGACAGGAUCAGAUCGCUCACCAGUGAUGAAGACGUGGUAGUACCGUAGUAGGGUGUGGUAGAUGAACAUGUCUUUAUUUUCUGAAUCGCUUAAUAUUAUAUGAUAUUGUACUGAUAAGUAGGAGGUGAUUGCUGAUGGGUGAUUCUAGAUUCUUGAGUGAAUACUAGCUACCAUGUUAUCCUAAGUGCUGUCAACUAUUCAAUUACAAAUAAAAACUCAAGAACGUACUUAGUCUACCACAAAUUGGGAUUUUUUUUGCCUCAAAUUUAGUCUGAUACAUUUUCCUUAACGUGACACUCUUUUUAGAGUUAACCCAACAUUUUUCUGUUCCAUCGUAAUCAACUAACUUUGAUAUGCAUGGGUUCAAUGCUAAACAAAGGAGGCACACUUCUCUAGCCUCGAGGUGGUAUCACUAAUAUGUGCCAUGAACUAUACGCAAUUCAGGUUAUGUGACCAGACACUAUAUUUUAUCCCCAUCAUUAUCAGUAAGCAAUGCAUAAUUUUUCUUUGCUCAUCGUCCUACUAACAAUAACUUGUUCUGCCUAAGUGGUUAUCCCUUAUAGCAUCACCUGCACCUACCAGCCUGAAUGAACUUUGGCGACAAUGCAAACAUGCUGUUA